UGGCCGUCUCAAAUCAACAACCGGUACAGUGAACGAGUUAAGUGACGCGGUUAUGUACGCAAAACAAUCGCGUCAGACGCGGAAAACGUCUUGAAACAUGUAAGGAGUUUCUAUCAUAAGUGCCAUCGCGUUGAAUUUUACGUUUCUUUUUGUUUUGCAAUACCACCGAUCAGCAGUGAAAGCAAGACUUGGCUCGAUCCACCGUUGCUUUCACGAAUUGGUUUUAUCGUCAGUGACGUACGGUUCUCGAACACCGAGGCCAAACACAAUUUGCUGUUCGAGGAUGAGCGCGAAUAAUGUGCAAGCACUUUUCGCCUGUUCAAGAUGUUUCUCAAGGCAUCCUUUCGAGGAGCUUUCACCGGGGCAACAAUUGUGCAAGGAAUGCAGAGGUGCAUUUCCUGUGGUGAAAUGUACAUAUUGUAGGUCAGAGUUCCAACAAACAAUAAAGGGUAAUACAAGCACUAUUUGUAAGAAAUGUGAGCAGAAUGUGAAAUCUUAUGGUAAGCCAUCGGCCUGUGAAUAUUGCAAUACCAUAGCUGCAUUUAUUGGUAGUAAAUGUCAAAGAUGUACAAAUUCUGAAAAACGUUAUGGGCCACCAGUCACUUGUGAACAAUGCAAACAGAAGUGUGCCUUUGACAGACAAGAUGAAGAUAAAAAAGUUGAUGGAAAGUUAUUAUGUUGGCUAUGUACACUGUCAUAUAAACGAGCAUUGGCAAAAACGAAACAAUCGGAUGCUGAGAGGAGGGCACAUUUGAAACUUGCACAACAACGAGCAGCAAAGCACAAAGAACAAAAAUUAAAAAGUCACAAUAAGAGACCACACAGAGUCGAUGUAACGAAACUACCGCCUCAGUCCGAAGGUGCAGACACAAACGGUCCGACACCGGUGAAAGCAGCGCGAAUGGGUGGCGUUCACGAUCCGCAUGAUCCCAACAGUUCGGAUCACGUAGUUGCGGUUACACAACUUAAAGAAAAGAUAGCCCAUCUCCAGAAACAAAUCUCUAUUAAAGAUGGGCAAUUACUUGCUAAGGAUAGACAAAUUACGGAAUUGAAGGCAAAAAACUUCACGUCGGAAACGGAACUGCGUAACAAGAUGAAAGCGACGGAGAAAGAAUACGAAGCCAAAAUAUCGACGAUGCAACUCAAGAUCUCCAGUUUGUUAAAAGAAGUUGCUUCUCUAUCGAAGAGUUCUAAGCGGGGCGACAGAGUUGCUGCCACGAAAACAGAAGCUGGGACCAACAGCGGAAGCGGAACAGACAGUCCUGUACCUUGAUAAGACGCUGUGCAAAGCGGCAGGAGCGAACCGGCUGGAGCAGAGUCGGUCCGAACGGAGCGCGAUUAAAAGUGAAGCCUCUUGACCACGUGGCCGGAGGUCAAAGUGGCGUAGGCAGACGUUACUCUCUUCGUCUGGUUGGCGGGUUGGUGGCCGCCGCGCGGUGGAAGCGAGCCGCGAGGCUGGCAGUGGCGGCGGCGGUGGCGGCGGCGACGACGGCGGCGGUGGUAGCAAGGCCUCGUCGAGCGGUAUGGAAACUCGGAGCUAUAGACAAUUCUGAAAACGGAUCCGAAGGAGAAAGGGGGUGACUAGCUGCGUCGACCCAAUAAGACCGAGGGGAUUUUCAGGGACACCGGUUACAGAAACAUCACGACAGCUCAUGGAAGUCAGAAGAGGAAAGGGGAAAGAUGAUGGAAAGAGUAGGGAGGAAGGAACACGGUCGAGAGAGGGUUUCUAUGUGUUCGGGACGCGGUCGAAGACACGAGACACACGGCGACCGCUCGUUACAUAAGUAAGAUUCUGCAUAGCAUUUCUCCUUUCGCUGGGAAGGAUGUAGCGGUGUCUCAGCUUUAAGCAUUUUCUUUUGGCCUUCGCUUCUUCCGUCGAAUUCGGCGAUUCUGUCUGAUGACGCCUUGGUCGUGGCUUCCCUCGGGCCACAACGAUAUCGAUGUCAACGUUCUUCGCAUUUAAUUAUGAGUCGCAUGCAUCUUUCUUUUUCUGGUAACUCAAUCACGUCGUAAGAUGAAAGGUCCGAAUCGACACGGAUGACCGAUCGUAUUACGUAGAAUUCUUAACUAGCAUGGUGACCGCAGAUAUUUAUUAUAUCCAUGAGUAGUAACUUUUUUAAUUUGUAUUUUAUUUUUUUACUUGAGGGCAGGUAUUUUGCGUAUCACGUUUUUAAAUAUUGAUGAUCAAUGUAUCAACAUGUAUGUCAGUGUAAUAUUUACAUACUACAAUAUAAACAAUCUGUAUGAAUAGCAUAAUGUAAAUAAUUAAUGUAUGUAUAAACGAUUGAAAAUGACAGAAUAUAUUUAUUAUAAUUAUUUAUACAAUCAAAUUAUAUUCAAUAUGAUUAUUUACAAAGAUUAAAUGUCCAUAAAGCAUAUACUAUAUGAAUAUUGAAAUAAAUAACGAAAUGGCUAUGUUCAAAUAUUUUGUAGUGGAGAAGUCUGAUACACUCAAACUUCGUUAACACGAAGAUUUUAUUUAUGAUCGAAAUUAUUAUAAUGCCAAUGAUGAUUACGUUCAAUUUUAUCUUCUAUUUUACGAUAGCGUGGAACAACAUUAUUAUUUAAGUUGUAUUUUCAACAUAAUUUUAGUGCAACUUGGAAUGUGAAAUAUGAAGGAAUUAAGUCUAAUUUUGUUCACUCGUUAAAGUGUAUCAAAUUUCACGUGUAAUCGGACACUUCGCGACCAGAUGAUUUCAGAAUCAAAACAAGUUUUGAGUCAUUCUUUGUGCUUCAAAGAUGUGCUUUGACGACGAAAUAACUUCAGGAUGUUUCUGUUAGACAGUAUUUCAGUUAGAAUUAUUGAUAUAAAUAUUAUUUGAAAAUUAAUAAAUUAGAGUAAAGUACAGAGCCAGGAAAAUUUGAAUCAAAUAGAACUAUUAUCCCUUUACAUGAAAAUUGUAAUAGAUAUGUCAAUUCAGGUUUAACUCCUUCCAUGUUCAUUGCCAGCGCUUCGCUCACCGACUCAGGUACUGCCGGAUAGAAGAAAGACAAUGGGUACGAUGACUAGUUCAUAAGAUUAAUAAUUUCUCAGUAACUGAUGUUGCGUGUAUAUCCUGUAUGAUGUAUUUUAUACUCUGCGUGUGUGUUUGCUUGUGUGUGAUUAGACGGUGGAAUUGCGUUGUUUCUCAGUCCUUAUUACAUUCGCUACAAUCUAAAAUAAUUAAGGAGUUCACAGCUAGUGACGUAAUUAGAAUUCACAGCUAGAUCCACGAUUAAAUACCUACAAAGAAUUAUAAGCAACAAAAAAUAUGAUUAUUACUGUUAAAUUACAAUGAUAUCCUCCGUAUCAUUUAUACCAGUAGUGCUAACUUUUUAAAGAUGUUCGUACGUAUUAUUGUAAUUAAAAUAGAAAUGUAUAAUAUAUAAUAGUUUUCAUCAUGUUCAAUGCACGCUGAUAACGCCUUCGUCAGACAAUUUCAGGAAGAUGCUACAUACAUUAAAGUGUGAAAAUUGUGAGAACCGUAGAACCAGUGUGUUGGUGUGUCUAUUUUGUCAUUUUUUAAAUAUACAGUUAAGUGAGAUAAAUAGAAUACUUUCCGAUAUGGUCGUUAAUUGUAGAUAGGGCCAGACACGUUGAUAUGAUCCCUGAUCGGGUUAGAGUUAGGCGCAUUUUCAUUUGUUUCGGGAAAUUUGAUUUGGGAAAUCGACGGUGAAUCACGAUGACGGAGCAUGCCAUUUAUCUCUGACUUUGCCUGUCGAUUUUUCAAAUUUCGUAGAUUUUCAAACAAACGUUUAUGUAUUGUUGGAGCAUACACAUGCGAACGGACAGCUAUCACUGUGCGACGUCUAUGUGCAUUUGAAUUAGCUUCCUCGAUUUAUAUGUUUAUUUUACAUCAUACCUGUGACAGCAUGUCCCUGCUCCUGAGUCAUUUUAUCCAUUUUCACCAGUAGCUUCCUCCUAUAUAGCUACGUUAGAAUGUUAUUAGUGUUGCAAAUAUAUAAAUCUGAAUGUAUAUAAUUGUUGAUAAUUAUUACAGUUGCGCAAAUAAUUGCUAUAUAAAAUUCUUAAAUCUCCAAUAGAUAGAACUUAUAAACAUUUACAUUUGUAAUAGGUAUGGUUUAUGAGCCUCUAGAUUUGUAAUAGGUAGAACUUAUAUAAAGUUUUAAAUGUCUUACAGGAAUCUUUAUGGAAUCAGUAAAGCGAGAUCCAAGUGGUAUUUAAAAAUACGUAAAAAGCAAUCCAAGGUUUUAAAAGGCAUAUUCAUCCCACGCACUUUUUCCCUUGCCCUUGUUAUACUCGUGUAAAUUUACAGUUAUGUAGCCUGCAUCUGAAUUCAAUUUAUAGUUAGUAGUUAGAAGCAAUAAGAGGAUUUUGAACUUUCACUAUUAUUUCCAUCUUGGAAUUUCUAUGUAAUUAAGUGAAUGGUAAAUGAAAGAGCUUUUGUAAAUAAUUACAUUUAUUUAUUUAUCAAUUUCACAGUAUAACAGUGUAUACGAUACGCUGAAUAUAGAAUAAUCUCUGCUCUUUAUCGUUUACUAAUUAAGGCGAUUAGUAUGUGAGUGAUCGGUAAGAACAUAUAUUAUAUAGCACGUGUACUUUUUAUUGGUCGUCACGAUAUUUUUUUUCGCUUCUUCUUCUUUCGCUUUCCUUUUAUUUCGUUAUAGAGGUACGCUACCGUUUGUUAGCCUAUUCUCUUGUCCUUUCUCUUCUCGACGGUAACACAUCUCUACCAAGUACCGUAUCAACAACUAAUUAUUUUUCGUAAGACGUUAGUUUUUUUUUUUUUUAUUUUUAUGUACUCGUGCGGAUAAGGCCACAAUUAGUGAUUUUCCGCGUGUGCGUGUCGCACACUCGUCCGGCAUGCGUGUGUGGAUGCGUGUGAUUCUUUUUCUUUCUCUUCCUUUUAUUUAUUUAUUUUUUUUUCGAUUUUUUAUCAUUUUCUCCACUUUGAUGUGGUCAAUGCAAAAAAUGCUCGCGAACGUAUAUCGCGGAUACGCGAGAUAACAAGAUCAUUUCGAUCCUUAUACUGACUUUCUUGUUCGAGAAAAAGUACAACGAUCGAACAUGAAGGUCGAUUGCAUUUAAAAUUCGCGUUUUCACGCAUUCGCGAAUAUGUGCACUUGUGGGCUCGUGUGAGAGUUAAAAUCGUUAAAAUCGAGGCUAACAUAGGAAAGCUAAAAAUUUAGUUACAACCGUCGGAGUAAUACAAAAGUAAAAUUUGUACAUUAAAAAUCUCAUACAUCGAAAAACCCUUGAAUUUGAAAAAUUUUGAAUUUUUCUAACAACUGUGCACCCGAGCCCGGUCGUUUUAAUUAGUCGUUCGUUAUACUCGAAUUUUGCACGAGUCUUACUGUACAAUAUCGCGGAGCGACAGAUAGAGAUAGAGAGAGAGAGAGAGA